rnacentral:rRNA from 1 species
GCUGGUCUGAGAGGAUGACCAGCCACACUGGAACUGAGACACGGUCCAGACUCCUACGGGAGGCAGCAGUGGGGAAUAUUGCACAAUGGGCGCAAGCCUGAUGCAGCCAUGCCGCGUGUAUGAAGAAGGCCUUCGGGUUGUAAAGUACUUUCAGCGGGGAGGAAGGUGUUGUGGUUAAUAACCGCAGCAAUUGACGUUACCCGCAGAAGAAGCACCGGCUAACUCCGUGCCAGCAGCCGCGGUAAUACGGAGGGUGCAAGCGUUAAUCGGAAUUACUGGGCGUAAAGCGCACGCAGGCGGUCUGUCAAGUCGGAUGUGAAAUCCCCGGGCUCAACCUGGGAACUGCAUUCGAAACUGGCAGGCUUGAGUCUUGUAGAGGGGGGUAGAAUUCCAGGUGUAGCGGUG